rnacentral:rRNA from 1 species
GUCUACGGCCAUACCACCCUGAACACACCCGAUCUUGUCUGAUCUCGGAAGCUAAGCAGGGUCGGGCCUGGUUACUACUUGGAUGGGAGAGAAUGGAAAGCAUAGUCA